GGCUUAGGAUGAACGCUGGCGGCGUGCCUAAUACAUGCAAGUCGAGCGAGAAUCAGUGAAGCAGAGAUCGUCAAAGCGGAUCUGAGGAAAGCGGCGGACGGGUGGAGUAACGCGUAGGCGAACCUGCCCUUAGCAGAGGGAUAGCCAUUGGAAACGAUGAUUAAAACCUCAUAAUGCUGUUAUAACACAUGUUAUGACAGCCAAAGAUUUAUCGGCUAAGGAUGGGCCUGCGUCUGAUUAACUAGUUGGUGAGGUAACGGCUCACCAAGGUGACGAUCAGUAGCCGACCUGAGAGGGUGAUCGGCCACAUUGGAACUGAGACACGGUCCAAACUUCUACGGAAGGCAGCAGUAAGGAAUCUUGCACAAUGGGGGAAACCCUGAUGCAGCAACGCCGCGUGAACGAUGAAGGCCUUAGGGUUGUAAAGUUCUGAUCUGUGGGAAGAAGGAAGUGACGGUACCCAAGGAGAAAGCCCCGGCUAAAUACGUGCCAGCAGCGGC
rnacentral:rRNA from 1 species